rnacentral:rRNA from 1 species
AACGAACGCUGGCGGCGUGCCUAACACAUGCAAGUCGAGCGGGAAAGUUCCCUUCGGGGAGCGAGUACAGCGGCGAACGGGUGAGUAACACGUAGGUAACCUACCCUGGAGUCCGGGAUAACCUGCCGAAAGGCGGGCUAAUACCAGAUAAGACCACGAGGGCUGCGGCCCUUGGGGAAAAAGAUGGCCUCUGCUUGCAUGCUAUCACUCCGGGAUGGGCCUGCGCGCCAUUAGCUAGNGGUGAGGUAACGGCUCACCAAGGCUGAGAUGGCUAGCUGGUCUGAGAGGAUGGCCAGCCACACUGGGACUGAGACACGGCCCAGACUCCUACGGGAGGCAGCAGUGGGGAAUAUUGCGCAAUGGGCGAAAGCCUGACGCAGCGACGCCGCGUGGGUGAUGAAGGCCUCGGUCGUAA